AGGGGGCAGGAGACGGGGUGAAAAAUAUGAAGGGACUAAGAAGUGCAGAUUGGUAGUUACAGGAUAGUCAUGGGGAUGUAAAGUACAGCAGAGAGAAUAUAGUCA